ensembl:miRNA
GCAUAAGAACUUCUGUGGCUGCAAGGAGAGCUGCCAAUGCGCUUGCAGAAAUAGCAGCAGUAUUUUAUUCUUGC